rnacentral:rRNA from 1 species
AUUGAACGCUGGCGGCAGGCCUAACACAUGCAAGUCGAGCGAGCGGCGGACGGGUGAGUAAUGUAUGGGGACUGCCCGAUAGAGGGGGAUAACUACUGGAAACGGUGGCUAAUACCGCAUACUAUCGGAUAACCCAUAUGGGAUUGGCUAGUGGGUGGGGUAAAGGCUAACCUAGGCCACGAUCUCUAGCUGGUCUGAGAGGAUGAUCAGCCACACGGGAACUGAGACACGGCCAAGACUCCUACGGAGGCAGCAGUGGGGAAUAUUGCACAAUGGGCGAAAGCCUGAUACAGCCAUGCCGCGUGUAUGAAGAAGGCCUUAGGGUUGUAAAGUACUUUCAGCGGGGAGGCGUUACCCACAGAAGAAGCACCGGCUAACUCCGUGCCAGCAGCCGCGGUAAUUC